UACAGAGGAUGCAAGCGUUAUCCGGAAUCACUGGGCGUAAAGGGCGUGUAGGCGGCUGGAUAAGUGGGAUGUUAAAUCCCCCGGCUCAACCGGGGACCUGCAUCUCAUACUGUUCAGCUCGAGCACAUCAGAGGAGACUGGAAUUCCAGGUGUAGCGGUGAAAUGCGUAGAUAUCUGGAGGAACACCGGUGGCGAAGGCGGCAUCCUGGACCAACACUGACGCUGAUGAGCGAAAGCCAGGGGAGCAAACGGG
rnacentral:rRNA from 1 species